rnacentral:rRNA from 1 species
AUUGAACGCUGGCGGCAGGCCUAACACAUGCAAGUCGAGCGGAGCGGCGGACGGGUGAGUAAUGACUAGGAAUCUGCCUGGUCGUGGGGGAGAACGUCCGGAAACGGGCCCUAAUACUGCAUACUAUUAGCAUAGCCUAUGCCGGAUUAGCUAGUUGGUGGGGUAAAGGCCUACCAAGGCGACGAUCCGUAGCUGGUCUGAGAGGAUGAUCAGUCACACUGGAACUGAGACACGGUCCAGACUCCUACGGGAGGCAGCAGUGGGGAAUAUUGGACAAUGGGCGAAAGCCUGAUGCAGCCAUGCCGCGUGUGUGAAGAAGGUCUUCGGAUUGUAAAGCACUUUAAGUUGGGAGGCGGUACCAACAGAAUAAGCACCGGCUAACUUCGUGCCAGCAGCCGCGGUAAUAC